UACGUAGGGGGCAAGCGUUGUCCGGAUUUAUUGGGCGUAAAGAGCGUGUAGGCGGCCAUGUAGGUCCGUUGUGAAAACUCGAGGCUCAACCUCGAGACGCCGAUGGAAACCAUAUGGCUAGAGUCCGGAAGAGGAGAGUGGAAUUCCUGGUGUAGCGGUGGAAUGCGCAGAUAUCAGGAGGAACACCAAUGGCGAAGGCAGAUCUCUGGGCCGUAACUGACGCUGAGGAGCGAAAGCAUGGGGAGCGAACAGG
rnacentral:rRNA from 1 species